rnacentral:rRNA from 1 species
UGAAUACGAGAUGCUACGGCGUCGAAGCAGUCUAUGUCAUACUUCCAAGAAAAGCUCGCACUGUCAUAAACAAAUAAUGCCUGUACCAUAACCGACACAGGUGGGUAGGUAGAGUAUACUAAGGGGCGCGAGAUAACUCUCUCUAAGGAACUCGGCAAAAUGACUCCGUAACUUCGGGAGAAGGAGUGCCUUAUUUAUAAGGUUGCAAUAACAAGAUCCAAGCAACUGUUUAUCAAAAACACAGGUCUCCGCUAAGUCGUAAGACGAUGUAUGGGGGCUGACGCCUGCCCAGUGCCAGAAGGUUAAAGAAGUUGGUUAGCAUUCGCGAAGCUGAUAACUGAAGCCCUGGUGAACGGCGGCCGUAACAAUAACGGUCCUAAGGUAGCGAAAUUCCUUGUCGGGUAAGUUCCGACCCGCACGAAAGGCGUAAUGAUUUGGAUACUGUCUCGGAGAGGGGCUCGGUGAAAUAGACUUGUCUGUGAAGAUGCGGACUACCUGCACCAUGACAGAAAGACCCUAUGAAGCUUUACUGUAACUUGAGAUUGAAAUUGGACUUUACUUGCGCAGUAUAGGUGGGAGGCGUUGAUAAUAUUCUUGCGGGAUUAUUUGAGCCAUCAGUGAGAUACCACUCUUGUAAUGUUAGAUUUCUAACUUUGUAUCAUUAUCUGGUCAAAGGACAGUUUCAGGCGGGCAGUUUGACUGGGGCGGUCGCCUCCUAAACGGUAACGGAGGCGCACAAAGGUUUCCUCUGAACGGGUAGAAAUCGUAUCUAGAGUGUAAAGGCAUAAGGAAGCUUGACUGUGAGACCUACAAGUCGAGCAGGGACGAAAGUCGGUCUUAGUGAUCUGACGGUGCUGAGUGGAAAGGCCGUCACUCAACGGAUAAAAGUUACUCUAAGGAUAACAGGCUGAUCUUCCCCAAGAGUUCACAUCGACGGGGAGGUUUGGCACCUCGAUGUCGGCUCAUCGCAUCCUGGGGCGGUAGUACGUCCCAAGGGUUGGGCUGUUCGCCCAUGAAAGCGGUACGCGAGCUGGGUUCAGAACGUCGUGAGACAGUUCGGUCCAUAUCCGGUGUAGGCGUUAGAAUAUUGAGAGGAGCCUUCUUUAGUACGAGAGGACCGAGAAGGACAUACCUCUGGUGUACCAGUUAUCGUGCCAACGGUAAACGCUGGGUAGCUAUGUAUGGAGUGGAUAACCGCUGAAAGCAUCUAAGUGGGAAGCCCACCUCAAGAUAAG